ACCACUUUUAUUUUGACGUUUAUCUAACCCUACUUUAUUCUAAUCAAAGCAGAAGUAAAGUAGUGUAAUUUUUGUAUAAAUGUCUUUAUGUUUUCGAGAAAAGAACAAAUUCUUAAAAAAACAGGCCCGAAUGGUAUAGGAAGGUAUCAAUUUCUUAAUUUAUUGGUCCAAGAAUUUCGACUGACAAAAUCAUUAGAAUGCAAGCAACAAAUAUUGGCAAAUUUAGCUAAUUUUGCAUAUGAUCCCAUAAACUACGAAUUUAUUAGAAGUUUGUCCAUCAUUGACUUAUUCAUAAGCCAACUAGCACUACAUGAACAUGAAAGUCUUAUAAACUACGCUGUUGCAGGAUUGUGUAACUUGAGUGCAGAUAACGAGAAUCAGAAUAUUAUCAUUCAGCAGAGUGGCAUCACUUUAAUCACAAAACUGUUACUGCAUAAGAACAAGGAAAUUGCUUUAAAUAGUUUAACUGCUUUAUUAUUUUUAAUUACUCCAAGCAACAAACAAUAUCUUACAACAGAAACAAUAUACAAUGUUAUACAACUGAAUGAGUCAAGUGAUCCAAGAUUUAAAAAUUUGGCAACAAUUUUUAUUCAAGAUUUAUGUUCUGAGCAUGAGAUAAAUUUGGCAAAAUCCUGGAAACCCUCUUCUGAGCAACUUGAAAAAAUAUUUCAAAAAUUGGCACAAAUGAAUUAAACUCUGUCCAAAUUAAAAGAAUAGUAACUGCUAAAGAUUUGGAAACAUUUGCUACUUUGAGCGGUGACACAAACCCUAUACAUUUUGGAGAUAAAGCAAUUGUUCAUGGUGCAUUUUUAAAUUCUCUUGUAUCAGGCGUGAUUGGAACUAAACUUCCUGGACAUGGCACAAUUCUAAUAUCACAAACUUUAAAUUUUCCUAAUAAAUGUUUUGUAAAUGAAGUUGUAACUGUUACUGUUAAAAUUUUGGAGCAACGUAAAAUAGUAAAAGUUGAAUAUGAGUGUGAAGUUGAGGAAGAAAAAAAAAUUGUCUUGUAUGGAGAUGCAAAAUUAAUUUGUAAUAAAAAUAAAUAAUGUCAUGAAUAAAACU